rnacentral:rRNA from 1 species
CCUACGGGAGGCAGCAGUGGGGAAUAUUGCGCAAUGGGCGAAAGCCUGACGCAGCGACGCCGCGUGAGGGAUGAAGGUCUUCGGAUCGUAAACCUCUGUCAGCAGGGAAGAACGGUCACUGUGCUAAUCAGCAGUGAAUUGACGGUACCUGCAAAGGAAGCACCGGCUAACUCCGUGCCAGCAGCCGCGGUAAUACGGAGGGUGCGAGCGUUAAUCGGAAUUACUGGGCGUAAAGCGCUCGUAGGCGGUAUGGCAAGUCAAGGGUGAAAUCCCCGCGCUCAACGUGGGAACUGCCUUUGAAACUGGCAGACUGGAGUGUGUGAGAGGAUAGUGGAAUUCCAGGUGUAGGAGUGAAAUCCGUAGAUAUCGGGAGGAACAUCAGUGGCGAAGGCGACAAUCUGGCACAUAACUGACGCUGAGGAGCGAAAGCGUGGGUAGCAAACAGGAUUAGAUACCCCGGUAGUC